GACGAACGCUGGCGGUGUGCCUCAUACAUGCAAGUCGAACGAGAAUCUAGAGCUUGCUCUAGAGGAAAGUGGCGGACGGGUGAGUACAACAUAGGAAAUCUGCCUUUAGGUGGGGGACAACAGAGGGAAACUCCUGCUAAUACCCCUAGUACGAGCUAAAGUUGAAAUACUUAUCUUGAAAACUCCGGUGCCUAAAGAUGAGCCUGUGCCUGAUUAGCUAGUUGGUGGUGUAAUGGACUACCAAGGCGACGAUCAGUAGCCGGUCUGAGAGGAUGAACGGCCACAUUGGGACUGAGAUACGGCCCAG
rnacentral:rRNA from 1 species